GGGCCGGUCGUCUAGUCUGGUAGGAUAGUCCCUUGGCAUGGGACAGGUCGGGGGUUCGAAACCUGCGUCGAAUCGACGCAGGCGAAUUUCCCCCCCGGUCCA
rnacentral:tRNA from 1 species